UACGGAGGGUGCAAGCGUUAAUCGGAAUUACUGGGCGUAAAGCGUGCGCAGACGGCUGCGUAAGUCAGAUGUGAAAGCCCCGGGCUCAACCUGGGAAUUGCAUUUGAGACUGCGUAGCUAGGGUGCGGAAGAGGGAAGCGGAAUUUCCGGUGUAGCGGUGAAAUGCGUAGAUAUCGGAAGGAACACCAGUGGCGAAAGCGGCUUCCUGGUCCAGCACCGACGUUCAGGCACGAAAGCGUGGGGAGCAAACAGG
rnacentral:rRNA from 1 species